rnacentral:rRNA from 1 species
GAUGGACGCUGGCGGCGUGCCUAAUACAUGCAAGUCGAGCGAACAGACGAGGAGCUUGCUCCUCUGACGUUAGCGGCGGACGGGUGAGUAACACGUGGAUAACCUACCUAUAAGACUGGGAUAACUUCGGGAAACCGGAGCUAAUACCGGAUAAUAUAUUGAACCGCAUGGUUCAAUAGUGAAAGACGGUUUUGCUGUCACUUAUAGAUGGAUCCGCGCCGCAUUAGCUAGUUGGUAAGGUAACGGCUUACCAAGGCAACGAUGCGUAGCCGACCUGAGAGGGUGAUCGGCCACACUGGAACUGAGACACGGUCCAGACUCCUACGGGAGGUAGCAGUAGGGAAUCUUCCGCAAUGGGCGAAAGCCUGACGGAGCAACGCCGCGUGAGUGAUGAAGGUCUUCGGAUCGUAAAACUCUGUUAUUAGGGAAGAACAAAUGUGUAAGUAACUAUGCACGUCUUGACGGUACCUAAUCAGAAAGCCACGGCUAACUACGUG